rnacentral:lncRNA from 1 species
UUUUUAACAAGGUGUGACAAAAAGGAAAGGGGAAUUGAGGUUAAGAGGGAAGAGGAGAAACAAUAACAUACUAACAUCCAUUCUAUACGUAUUGCCAUAUCAACAUUCCAAAUUACUAUUUUUACUAUUUUCUGCCUUCAGAUUUAAGUUCUCAUUUCAAUGUAUGCUCUUCAUACGCUGUCUGUCAACUCAAUACAUUUAUAGAAUAAGUCCCAUCUUUCAGUUACUUUUUGUAAAGGACAGUCCUUCAUCACUUCUGAUAAAAUGUCCAUUUCCGCUGUUUCCCGUAUCUUCUGUGUUUUUGUGUUUUUUUGUAAAGGGUUCUUCAGAAUCUGUCCCUGGCUCCCCUCUGGCAGUGGACUCCCCUUUGUCCCUCAGGCAGAGGUCACUGGAGGGGAUCGGAGGAGCCGUCUCACAGGGCAUUGAAAAUAUGCAGGGAACCUCUCCCUCAUCUCUCCUUUGCGGAGGAAUGGAAGCUGUGCCUGUGCAGCCAGAAGAGGGUCCUGUAACCUUUGACGAAGUUGCCGUGAAUUUCACAGAGGCGGAGUGGGCAUUGCUGGAUCAGAACCAAAGGGCCUGCCACAGGGACGUCAUGGAUGAGACGCGUGAAAAUGUGUUGUCUUUGGGUGAGAUUUGCUUUCCUCCCCCUUCAGUCGACAGACCCACAGUGCAAAUGGUAUGAAAGAAUAUGUAGCCUAUCACUGCUGUGAACGUUCACAAGAUGAGAGAGAGGAAAACCAUUCCAGUUUUUCUUUCUGCAGCACAACGGGUGUCGUUUAGACACUUGAAUGCUCAGUCCCACUGCAAAUCCACAAUAAAACAACUGAAAAACAGCUAGUCA